GACGUAGGGGGCCAGCGUUGUUCGGAAUUACUGGGUGUAAAGGGUUCGUAGGCGGUGCGGCAAGUCGGGAGUGAAAUCUCUGGGCUUAACCCAGACGCUGCUUCCGAAACUGCUGUGCUUGAGUGUGGGAGAGGCGCGUGGAAUUCCUGGUGUAACGGUGAAAUGUGUUGAUAUCAGGAGGAACACCCAUGGCGAAGGCAGCAGACUGGGCGUUUCCUGACGCUGAGGCGCGAAAGCGUGGGUAGCAAACAGG
rnacentral:rRNA from 1 species